GCUCUAUGCCAAGCUCCACCCCAGAUGUACAGUGGGAGCAACAGGGAGGAGCUUCAGGGCAGCAGGGGAGAUAAGAAGCAAGUGAUCAGGCGAUCAGAUGGACUGUUCCCUGAGCUUUGCUCUUGCGUGGUCAGCUCCUUCUCAUCCUUCAGGUGUCGGCUGUCAUCUUCUCUGCCAGGCCUUCCUUCACCAUGGAAACUAGGCUGCACCUACUCACGCUGUGUCCCAUUACUUUGUGUUAUCAUCUUCAUAAAACUUAGCAGC
ensembl:lncRNA